rnacentral:tRNA from 1 species
AGGGUGGUACAUUAGAAUAUGGAUUGGCAGGGCCCGACAUUAAUGCCGUGGACUUUUAAUCCGUAGGUUCCGGGUUCGAGCCCCGGGCGCCCUACCA